UACGCAGGGGGCUAGCGUUGCUCGGAAUCACUGGGCGUAAAGCGCACGUAGGCGGCUUUUUAAGUCAGGGGUGAAAUCCUGGAGCUCAACUCCAGAACUGCCUUUGAUACUGAGAAGCUUGAGUCCGGGAGAGGUGAGUGGAACUGCGAGUGUAGAGGUGAAAUUCGUAGAUAUUCGCAAGAACACCAGUGGCGAAGGCGGCUCACUGGCCCGGUACUGACGCUGAGGUGCGAAAGCGUGGGGAGCAAACAGG
rnacentral:rRNA from 1 species